CCCGGGGCGACUUCCAUCAGAGGAGGACGUGCGUUCAGUCGCUCCUCUUAAUUUCGCCUAAAUACCCCCUACAGCCCCUCCCCCCCCGGUUAUCAUGGCUGCAAUAGAACAUAAUUAAGGUGUCGGGCACCCGGCACGUGAACUAAGAUGGAGUAUUGCUUCAGGGCGGCUCGCUAAAUGGUGCUGUGUGUUGCUGCCCUCCACAGCACCAAUGGCUGCCCUGAAAACCAUGGCAGGGGAACCAGGAACAGGAGCUCAGCAUCACUAAGUUAAGUACCUCACCAUGACACUCUCAUCUUUGCCUUCCUUUCAAAACUUUUUACUUCCCUCUCAAACCCCACCUUCUACUCAACCUCCCCCAUGAUUGUGAGUGAAGUAUGCCUGCUGGUGCUGUCCCUGUCCGUCGGUAGGAAGGUGAAUCGUCAUACUGUCCCGACGUCGUAACACCCGGCACGGGGUGAAGGGACUCAUGUAAGGCAGCGGCGGCGCCCUAAGGUGGGGAGGGCUGCGCCGACACCUCCACAGUCGUCUCUGGCGUCUGCUGGCUGGCUAGGGUGGUCUGACUCACUGUCUGGGUUGUUUGUCACACGCCGGAUUGGGAACUGGAUCUCCAGAGGUGCACAUGUCACAGAGAUGGUAGUAGAAACAGCGGCCAGCCAGGGACGAGGACCACAAGAGGUGGAGGAGAAUGAGGAAGAGGAAGGUGCUGUGUGUUGCUGCCCUCCACAGCACCAAUGGCUGCCCUGAAAACCAUGGCAGGGGAACCAGGAACAGGAGCUCAGCAUCACUAAGUUAAGUACCUCACCAUGACACUCUCAUCUUUGCCUUCCUUUCAAAACUUUUUACUUCCCUCUCAAACCCCACCUUCUACUCAACCUCCCCCAUGAUUGUGAGUGAAGUAUGCCUGCUGGUGCUGUCCCUGUCCGUCGGUAGGAAGGUGAAUCGUCAUACUGUCCCGACGUCGUAACACCCGGCACGGGGUGAAGGGACUCAUGUAAGGCAGCGGCGGCGCCCUAAGGUGGGGAGGGCUGCGCCGACACCUCCACAGUCGUCUCUGGCGUCUGCUGGCUGGCUAGGGUGGUUUGACUCACUGUCUGGGUUGUUUGUCGCACGCCGGAUUGGGAACUGGAUCUCCAGAGGUGCACAUGUCACAGAGAUGGUAGUAGAAGUCACCAAGACAGCGGCCAGCCAGGGACGAGGACCACAAGAGGUGGAGGAGAAUGAGGAAGAGGAAGGGCGGUGGAGAGGCGGAAGAAGAGUGGAGGAGGAGGCUGUGUGGAGUGGUGGUGUGCUGGAUGGAGACUUGACAACGGUAUCUGGUGUGCUGGAUGGAGCCUUGGCAAUGGUAUCUGGUGUGCUGGAUGGAGCCUUGACAACAGUAUCUUCACACGCCUGGCAGAGGACAACCAAGAAAAGAAGAAAGAAGAAGAGAAGGAAAAAGACAGAAGAGAAAAAGGCUGUCACACAUCACACAGGAAUCGCAGCAUCAAGAGGAAAGAUUCAGGCUACAUAUAAAUUUAAAAUGCAUUCCGAGGUCAUAGAUUUAGGCACAGGGCAUCUUUUGGCCACCUCUUUGGAUUCUUUUUAGGAGCAGCAACUAGCGGGCUUUGUUUUUUUUUUUUUUUUUUUUUUUUUUAGCUGUCUCCUCUGUUUAAAGAAAAUAAAAUGUGUACCAAGGCUAUAUUAUGUUCUGGGUGUGUUGCAAGGAAUAUUUCACCGUGUAAUAUACCGGGUUAUAUUUUUACGUGCAUGUAUGUACUAUGUGAUAUGUUUACGCAUCUGCGAAGGCGAUAUAUUUAAACGUAACAUCCCGGGUUAUAUAUUUGUAAGUGUAUGUACUAAGCGAUAUAUUUUAAGCUUAAGUUACCGGGUUAUAUCUAUAAGUAUGUAUGAAGCGAUAUAUUUACGUACAUUCUAAGCGUAAUGUAAUAUUUAAACGCAACAUCCCGGGUUAUAUAUUUGCAAGUGUAUGUAUGAAGCGAUAUAUUUUAAGCCCAAGGUACUGGGUUAUAUCUGUAAGUGUAUGUACGAAGCGAUAUAUUUACGUAUAUUCUAAGCGCAAUGUAUUGAGUUAGAUAUUCGUAAGUGUGUGUACUAAUCUAUGUAUUUCCGUAUCUACCAUUGGGAUAUAUUUUGAGUACGUGCUAUGGGAAAAUACGUAUGGCUAUUAACAACAUCUGCAUGGGAAAAUAUUUAAGUGUAUGUGUUAAGGUAUAUAUUUACGUAUGUACCGAGGGAUAAUAUUUAAGGGUAUGGUCGAAGCGAUAUAUUUACACAAAAGGAUAUAUUUUAAGGAUAAGGUAUUGGGUUAUAUUUCUACGUAUAUGUACUAUGCUAUAUAUAUAACAACAUCUUUGGCUUCUGCAUGGCAAAUCUAACAUCCUCUUCGACUAUCCACAUUAACCCUUUUGCUGCUGCUGCUAUAUUAACAACAACUAUGGUUUCUGCAUGACAAUUUUCGCUGCUUUGGCUAUUUACAAUUUCCACGGAUUUGAGUAUUGAAACAAACAAUUAUACAUGGUUUCUGCAUGACAAUUUUUGCUGCUUCGGCUAUUUACAAUUUCCACGGAUUUGAGUAUUGAAACAAACAAUUAUAUAUGGUUUCUGCAUGACAAUUUUUGCUGCUUCGGCUGUUUACAAUUUCCAUGGAUUUGAGUAUUGUAACAAACAACUAUAUAUGGUUUCUGCAUGAUAAUUUUUGCUGCUAUUCGCUCAUUCGUUUCCGCUUCCUCUAUCGCAAUAACCCGCAAUGCUGCUCCGGCUAUUACUACGCGUGUACUGCCCAGAACUUUAAUCCACCCCAACUUCAAUAUCUCCAUUUAAGAGAAGCAUAGACCAGGCAAGAGUCUGUAAAUAAAAUCCACUUGCGUUGUUGCUCCUUGGGCUGCAGCAGUGACCCGAGCAAUUAAUUUCCUGACCAAGGAUAAGAGGAUUAGGCCUACAGGGGACACCUCUUGAAAAAAACGCACCAUGACUUUUACCUCAAAUCAAGGUGGUGUGGAAAUAAAGUCAACACACGAAUGCACACACAGUACCAUACACCCCGUUAUACAGUGUCUCACCCAUACAGGGACACACACACACACGGUUGAGAGGGCUGAUCCUCGAUGAUGUAUGGUUGAAUGUCCGCAGUACAGGUUGUACGUAAUGAUUUCUGUUCACCUGUACGUAACAGGAAAAAUGGUUGAUUAGAAUGCCUUGGUCCAUUUCCAGAGGGCCAAUUCUUGAUGACGUAAGGUUGUAUGUCUGCAGUAAGGGCUACACGUAAUGAUUUCUAUACACGAGCAGUUAUACGUAAGAGGAAGACGAAGAAUGUUUGUUUAAGGUCAAAAGGGCUGAUUCUUGAUGAUAUAUAUGUAUAAUGCAUUAUCCCAUACACUCCAUGCUUGCAGGAAGGGUUACACAUAAUGAUUUCUAUACUCAAACUAAUAACAGGAAGAAGAAGAACAAGAUUUGUAUAGGGUUGAAAGGGCUGAUCAACCAUUUUUCGAAGAUGUAUGUCUUUAUUGCAUUUAUCCAUACACUCCAAGCUUGCAGGAAGGGUUAUAUGUAAUUUCUACACACAAACUAAUACACAUAACAGGAAAAUGAAGAAUAAAGAUGUUUGUUGAAUUUUGAAAGGGCUGAUUCUUGAAGCUAUAUGUCUGUCUUGGAUUCUCCCAUAUCUACACUCCAAGCUUACAGUGAGAGUUACACGUGAUUUCUAUACACAAACUAAUAUAUGUAACAAGAAAAUAAAGAUUGAGAUGGCUGUAUAAGGUUGACAGGGCCGAUUCUCGACGAUGUAUGUCUGUAUUGUGAAUGAGGUGUUUGUAUAAGGUCGAAAGGAUUGAUUAUUGAUGUAUGUCUGUAUUGCAUUCUCCCAUACACUCCAUGCUUGCAGGAAAGUUUUAUUUUUAUUUAUUUAUAUUUUUAUGUCGUGGCCUAUUGCGCUGGUAGGCUUCUUCCCAGUGGAUCCUGAUGGUCGGCCCAAGGCUUCUUCCUGGUGGGGCCUGAUGGUCACCCCAGCCCAUCUCGACGAUAUAUGUCCGUAUUGCAUUCUCCCAUACACUUCAAGCUUGCAGGAAGGGUUAUAGAUAUUUAAAUUUAUGCGGAGCAGGAGAAUAAAGAAUGAGAUGUUUAUAUAAUGUUGAAAUGGCUAAUUCUCGACGAUGUAUGUUUUCUCGAGUGUUUCAUUGGGCUAGUUAUAGGCUGUGGGACCACGACCUCCAGAGCCGAUGAUGUAUGUCUGUAUUGCAUUCUCCCAUACACUCCAUGCUUGCAGGAAGGGUUAUACGUAUUGAUUUCUAUACACAAGCAUUUAUACGUAGCAGGAAAAUGAAGAACGAGAUGUUUGUAUAAUGUCGAAAGGGUUGAUUCUCGAAGAUAUAUGUCUGUAUUACAUUCUCCCUUACAUUCCAUGCUUGCAGGAGGGGUUAUACAUGCUGAAAUUUAUACGUAACGGGAGAACAAAGAAUGAGAUGUUUGUAUAAUGUCGAAAGGGAUGAUUCUUGAAGAUGUAUGUCUGUAUUGCAUUUUUCCAUACACUCCAUGCUUGCAGUAAGGGUUAUACAUACUGAAAUUUAUGCAUAACAGGAGAUUAAAGAAUAAGAUGUUUGUAUAAUGUCAAAAGGGCUGAUUCUCAACGAUGUACCUAUGUUUUCUUGAGUUUUAUGCGGCUAGUUAUAGGCUGUGGGACCACGACCUCCAGAGCCGACGAUGUAUGUCUAUAUUGCAUUCUCCCAUACACUCCAUGCUUUCAGGAAGGGCUUUAUGCAAUGAUUUCUAUACACUAACUAUUAUAUGUAAUGGGAAAAUGUAGUGAGGUGUUUGUAUAAGGUUGAAAGGGCUGAUUCUCGACGAUGUAUGUAUGUUUUGCAUUCUCCCAUACACUCCAUGCUUGCAGGAAGGGUUAUACAUACUGAAAUAAAAGAAUGAGGUGUUUGUAUAAUGUCGAAAGGGCUGAUUCUUGAAGAUGUAUGUGUAUUGCAUUCUCCCAUACACUCCAAGCUUGCAAGAAGGGUUAUACAUACUGAAAUUUAUGCAUAACAAGAGAAUAAAGAUUGAGAUGUUUGUAUAAUGUCGAAAGGGCUGAUUUCGUAGAUAUAUGUCUGUAUUACAUUCUCUCAUACACUCCGAACUUGCAGGAAGGGUUAUACAUGCUCAAAUUUAUACGUAACAGGAGAAUAAAGAAUGAGAUGUUUGUAUAAUGUCGAAAGGGCUGAUUCUCGACGAUGUAUGUUUUCUUGAGUGUUUUAUUGGGCUAGUUAGGCUGUGGGACCACGGCCUCCAGAACCGACGAUGUAUGUCUGCUUUGCAUUUUCCCAUAGGCCUACACUCCAUGCCUGCAGGAAGGGUUAUACGUAAUGAUUUCUAUACACAAGCAAGUCUACGUAACAGGAAAAUGAAGGAUAAGAUGUUUGUAUUAGAUAGAAAGGUCCCAUUAUUGAUGAUGUAUGUCUGCAUAGCAUUUUCCCACACACUCCAUGCUUUCAGGAAGGGCUUUACGCAAUGAUUUCUAUACACUUAUACAUAACGAGAAAAUGUAGAGUGAGGUGUUUUAUAAGGUUGAAAGGGCUGAUUCUCGACGAUGUAUGUCUGUAUUGCAUUCUUCCACACACUCCAUGCUUGCAGGAAGGGUUAUACAUACUGAAAUUUAUGUUACGAGAAUAAUGAGAUAUUUGUAUAAGAUCGAAAGGGCUGAUUCUCGACGAUAUAUGUCUGUAUUGCAUUCUUCCACACACUCCAUGCUUGCAGGAAGGGUUAUACGUAAUGAUUUCUAUACACAAGCAUUUGUACGUAGCAUGAAAAUGAAGAACGAGAUGUUUGUAUAAUGUUGAAAGGGCUGAUUCUUGAAGAUGUAUGUCUGUAUUGCAUUCUCCCAUACACUCCAAGCUUGCAGGAAGGGUUAUACAUACUGAAAUUUAUAUGUAACAGGAGAAUGAAGAAUGAGGUGUUUGUAUAAUGUCGAAAGGGCUGAUUCUCGACGAUGUAUGUCUGUAUUGCAUUCUCCCGUACACUCCAUGCUUGCAGGAAGGGUUAUACAAAAUGAUUCCUAUACACAAGCAUUUAUACGUAGCAGGAAAAUGAAGAACGAGAUGUUUGUAUAAGGUCGAAAGGGCUGAUUCUCUAUGAUGUAUGUCUGUAUUGCAUUCUCCCAUACACUCCAUGCUUGCAGGAAGGGUUAUUAAUUAUGAUUUCUAUACACAAGCAUUUAUACGUAGCAGGAAAAUGAAGAACGAGAUGUUUGUACAAUGUCGAACGGGCUGAUUGUCAAAGAUAUGUCUGUAUUACAUUCUCCCAUACACUCCAAGCUUGCAGGAAGGGUUAUAUAUACUGAAAUUUAUGCAUAACAAGAAUAAAGAAUUAGAUGAUUGUAUAAUGUCGAAAGGGCUGAUUCUCGACGAUGUAUGUUUUCUUGAGUGCUCUAUUGGGCUAGUUAUAGGCUGUGGGACCACGACCUCCAGAGCCGAUGAUGUACGUCUGUAUUGCAUUUUCCCAUACACUCCAUGCCUGCAGGAAGGGUUAUACGUAAUGAUUUCUAUACACGAGCAAGUCUACGUAACAGGAAAAUGAAGGAUAAGAUGUUUGUAUUAGAUAGAAAGGUCCCAUUAUCGACGAUGUAUGUCUGUAUUGCAUUCUCCCGUACACUCCAUGCUUGCAGGAAGGGUUAUACGUAAUGAUUUCUAUACACAAGCAUUUAUACGUAGCAGGAAAAUGAAGAACGAGAUGUUUGUAUGAUGUCGAAAGGGCUGAUUCUCGAAGAUAUAUGUCUGUAUUGCAUUCUUCCAUACAUUCCAUGCUUGCAGGAAGGGUUAUACGUAAUGAUUUCUAUACAAACAUUUAUACGUAACAGGAAAAUGAAAAAUGAGAUGUUUGUAUCAGGUAGAAAGGUCCCAUUCUCGAUGAUAUAUGUCUGUAUUGCAUUCUUUCAUACAUUCCAUGCUUGCAGGAAGGGUUAUACUUAAUGAUUUCUAUACAAACAUUUAUACGUAACAGGAAAAUGAAGAGUGAGGUGUUUGUUUAAGGUUGAAAGGGCUGAUUCUCGACGAUGUAUGUCUGUAUUGUAUUCUCCCAUACACUCCGAGCUUGCAGGAAGGGUUAUCAUACUGAAAUUUUUACGUAACAGGAGAAUAAAGAAUGAGAUGUUUGUAAAAUGUCAAAAGGGCUGAUUCUCGACGAUGUAUGUUUUCUUGAGCGUUUUAUUGGGCUAUUAGGCUGUGGGACCACGGCCUCCAGGGCCAACGAUGUAUGUCUGCAUUGCAUUUUCCCAUAGGCCUACACCAUGAUUGCAGGAAGGGUUAUACGUAAUGAUUUCUAUACACAAGCAAGUCCACGUAACUGGAAAAUGAAGGAUAAGAUGUUUGUAUUAGAUAGAAAGGUCCCAUUAUCGACGAUGCAUGUCUGUAUUGCAUUCUCCCCCACACUCCAUGCGUUUAGGAAGGGCUUUACGCAAUGAUUUCUAUAACUAUUAUACGUAACGGGAAAUGUAGAGUGAGGUGUUCGUAUAAGGUUGAAAGGGCUGAUUCUCGACGAUGUAUGUCUGUAUUGCAUUCUCCCAUACACUCCAUGCUUGCAGGAAGGGUUAUACGUAAUGAUUUCUAUACACAAGCAUUCAUACAGCAGGAAAAUGAAGAACGAGACGUUUGUAUAAGGUCGAAAGGGCAGAUUUUUGAAGAUUUGUCUGUAUUGCAUUCUCUCAUACAGUCCAAGCUUGCAGGAAGGGUUAUACACACAAUUUAUACGUAACGAGAAUAAAGAAUGAGAUGUUUGUAUAAUGUCAAAAGGGCUGAUUCUCGACGAUGUAUGUUGAGUGUUUUAUAGGGUUUUAUGGGUACGCUGCGGGAAGUCCAGAGCCGAUAAGGUAUAUCUAUAUUGCAUUCUCCCGUUCACUCCAUGCUUUCAGGAAGGACUUUAUGCAAUGAUUUCUAUACACUAACUAUUAUAUGUAAUGGGAAAAUGUAGUGAGGUGUUUGUAUAAGGUUGAAAGGGCUGAUUCUGGACGAUGUAUGUCUGCAUUGCAUUCUUCCAUACAUUCCAUGCUUGCAGGAAGGGUUAUAUGUAAUGAUUUCUAUACACUAGCUAUUGUACGUAACGGGAAAAUGUAGAAUGAGGUAUUUGCAUAAGGUUGAAAGGGCUGAUUCUCGACGAUGUAUGUCUGUAUAUUGCAUUUUCCCACACACUCCAUGCCUGCAGGAAGGGUUUACGUAAUGAUUUCUAUACAAACAUUUAUACGUAGGCGCUUGUAGUAAUGUCAAAUGUAAGUUAAAUAAAUGACUGU